UGGGGAAUAUUGCACAAUGGGGGAAACCCUGAUGCAGCGACGCCGCGUGAACGAAGAAGGUAUUCGUAUCGUAAAGUUCGGUCCUAUGGGAAGAUAAUGACAGUACCAUAGAAGAAAGCUCCGGCUAAAUACGUGCCAGCAGCCGCGGUAAUACGUAUGGAGCGAGCGUUGUCCGGAAUUAUUGGGCGUAAAGGGUACGCAGGCGGUUUAAUAAGUCGAAUGUUAAAGAUCGGGGCUCAACCCCGCAAAGCAUUGGAAACUGCUAAACUUGAGUAGUGGAGAGGAGAGUGGAAUUCCUCGUGUAGUGGUGAAAUACGUAGAUAUUAGGAGGAAUACCAGUAGCGAAGGCGACUUUCUGGACACACACUGACGCUGAGGUACGAAAGCGUGUGGAGCAAACAGG
rnacentral:rRNA from 1 species